rnacentral:rRNA from 1 species
GAUGAACGCUGGCGGCGUGCCUAAUACAUGCAAGUCGAGCGAACAGAUGAGGAGCUUGCUCCUCUGACGUUAGCGGCGGACGGGUGAGUAACACGUGGAUAACCUACCUAUAAGACUGGGAUAACUUCGGGAAACCGGAGCUAAUACCGGAUAAUAUAUUGAACCGCAUGGUUCAAUAGUGAAAGACGGUUUUGCUGUCACUUAUAGAUGGAUCCGCGCCGCAUUAGCUAGUUGGUAAGGUAACGGCUUACCAAGGCAACGAUGCGUAGCCGACCUGAGAGGGUGAUCGGCCACACUGGAACUGGGACACGGUCCAGACUCCUACGGGAGGCAGCAGUAGGGAAUCUUCCGCAAUGGGCGAAAGCCUGACGGAGCAGCGCCGCGUGAGUGGUGAAGGUCUUCGGAUCGUAAAGCUCUGUUAUUAGGGAAGAACAAAUGUGUAAGUAGCUAUGCACGUCUUGACGGUACCUAAUCAGAAAGCCACGGCUAACUACGUG